UGGCGGACGGGUGAGUAACGCGUGGAAAACCUGCCGUAUACUGGGGGAUAACACUUAGAAAUAGGUGCCAAUACCGCAUAAGCGCACAGCUUCGCAUGAAGCGGUGUGAAAAACUCUGGUGGUAUACGAUGGUUCCGCGUCUGAUUAGCUAGUUGGUGGGGUAAUGGCCUACCAAGGCAACGAUCAGUGGCCGGCCUGAGAGGGUGAACGGCCACAUUGGGACUGAGACACGGCCCAAACUCCUACGGAAGGCAGCAG
rnacentral:rRNA from 1 species